UACGAGGGGAGCUAGCGUUGUUCGGAAUUACUGGGCGUAAAGGGCGUGUAGGCGGUACCAUAAGUCAGAUGUGAAAGCCCUAGGCUUAACCUAGGAGGUGCAUUUGAUACUGUGGAACUAGAGAUCGAGAGAGGAAAGUGGAAUUACGAGUGUAGAGGUGAAAUUCGUAGAUAUUCGUAAGAACACCAGUGGCGAAGGCGACUUUCUGGCUCGAUACUGACGCUAAGGCGCGAAAGCGUGGGGAGCAAAC
rnacentral:rRNA from 1 species